GACGAACGCUGGCGGCGUGCUUAAUACAUGCAAGUCGAACGGAUGCAGCAAUGCAUUAGUGGCGGACGGGUGAGUAACACGUGAGCAAUCUGCCCCUAACUGGGGAAUAACGGCUGGAAACAGCCGCUAAUACCGCAUAUGACCACAGCAAGGCAUCUUGCAGAGGUGAAAGAUUUAUCGGUUAGGGAUGAGCUCGCGGCCUAUUAGCUUGUUGGUGGGGUAAUGGCCUACCAAGGCGACGAUAGGUAACCGGCCUGAGAGGGUGAACGGUCACACUGGAACUGAGACACGGUCCAGACUCCUACGGGAGGCAGCAGUAGGGAAUAUUGGGCAAUGGAGGCAACUCUGACCCAGCAACGCCGCGUGAAUGAAGAAGGUUUUCGGAUUGUAAAGUUCUUUUCUUGGGGACGAAUAAAAUGACGGUACCCAAGGAAUAAGCCCCGGCAAACUACGUGCCAGCAGCCGCCGUAACAC
rnacentral:rRNA from 1 species